UAGUUCUUACGCCCCUGUUUUAUGGUUUACUUUUCAGAGCCUUCGGCACCGGCGGAGGCACGGAAUCGCGGCAAGGGGAUCGCUUAGCUAGCUAGCGAGGAGCGGUACUUUGCCUAGGUGGUUUACUCUUUCUUUUUGUAGUUGAGAGAGUGAGAGGUUUUUGUAUCCAUGUAUAGAGACCACCUAUGUAUCUACCUAUAGCACUUGUAUCUGGGAUUUUCUUGUAUUACUUUAUGUUUUAUUUAGUGGAUUUACAGUUUUAUCCUUAUCCCUUGUUGUAGCAAUUAGACAUUUAUUAUGCUCUGAUACUCCUAGAUGUCUUUUAUUAUCGCUUUUAUUAUUGUUGUUUUUAGACGCCUUAUAUGUUUUAGACGUAUGGCGGGUCUGGGCACGUGCCUGGCGGGCUUCCGCUGGGUCCCGGGGCGUGACAGUUACCUCUGAAAGCCAAAAUUCGCACUUCUUCAGUUUAGCAUAAAGCUUCUCGUUUCGAAGUAUUUGCAACACGGUUCUUAAAUGUUCCUCGUGCUCUUCUUCAUUCCGCGAGUACACCAACACGUCGUCGAUAAACACCACGAUGCACUUGUCCAAUAACGGUCGAAAGACCCGAUUCAUUAGGUCCAUAAACGCUGUCGGGGCAUUAGUAAGCCCAAACAGCAUAACCGUAAACUCGUUUGGCCAUACCGCAUACAGUACGCUGUUUUGUGCACAUCCUUCGGCCGGAUAUUCAACUGGUGAUAUCCCAACUGAAGAUCUAUCUUCGAGUAUACCCGCGACGCCUACAACUGAUCAAACAGGUCAUCUAUUCUCGGCAACGGGUAUUGUUCUUGACCGUCACUUUGUUCAACUCGCGAUAAUCAACGCAGAGUCAAAGUGUACCGUCCUUCUUCUUUACAAAUAGCACCGAAGCUCCCCACGGUAACACGCUCGGCCUAACAAAGCCUUUGUCGAGCAAGUCCUGUAAUUGGGCCUUUAACUCCUUAAGCACCUCCGGAGCCAUUCUAUACGGAGCCUUCGAAACUGGCGUCGCUCCGAGAAUCAAGUCAAUGACUAACUCGAUCUCCCGAUUCGGUGGCAAUCACGGUAACUCCGCCGAAAACACGUCCGGAAAUUCACACGCAACUCGGAUAUCCCCAAGUUCAGGGUGUUCCUUCUGAGCCUCUAUCAUUGUUGCCAAAUAGGCCAAACAUCCUUCUUUGAUCAUCUUUAUCGCCCUCGCCGCCGAUACAGUCGCCGCGAAACGCGAGCUUUUGCACACUUGAUACACCAACUCCUCUUGACCAGGCUCACGAAAAGUGAUCACCUUACUGUCACAGUCAAUGCUGGCAUAGUACUUGGAGAGCCAAUUAACUCCCAAGAUGACAUCAAAUCCCCACAUCUGCUUCAACACUACCAAGUUCGCCGGCAUAAUCCACUCGCCGAUCUGAACAAGACAAGCUAGGCACUCCUCGUGAACUUUAAACGAAUGUUCUGGUGCGUUAACCCACCAAUAGUCAUAAUUAUGCACUAUCUCCAUGCCAUGAGUCUUAGCAAACGAUGCACUAACAAACGAGUGUGAUACAUUCGUGUCAAAUAAUGCUCUUACUCUAAUGCCAUUAAUCAGAAUAAUACCUGCCACGACGUCGUCGGGUACGGCAGGCUGCUCUUCCACCUGAGUGGCGAAAAUUCGUCCACUCGGUGCACGUGAUCCCUCCGGCUAACGCGGUGCCGAAGCGCGCCCAGCCGACAUAACAGGUGGCAGUCCUGCAAGCUGUCGUGGAGCGUACUGAGCCGAAGUAGCUGACGGAGCAGGUGACGCGCCGCCCGGGCAAUCCCAACUCAAGUGUCCCGCUUGGCCACAUCGGAAACACCUCCCGUCACGCUGAGAACAUUCAUUGGGCCUGUGAUUCCCGCCACGGAUCACGCAUGGGAAAGAAGUCGCCUGACUCCUUGACUGGCUUCUGCCUCCCCGCCACUGCGGUCGAAGGUACCAAGGGAGUCGCUUAGAACUCGACUGCCCUGCGGAACCACCAGCCGGUCGCUUCUUGGACUUUUUCCUUUCCUUGUCCUUUUCAAAAGCCUCGCGCUCCUCACGCGCAAUGGUGUUGCCGGGCUCUACCCAUAGCGCGCGAUCAAGUACCUCCUCGUAGGUCUUCAGUCGGAGCGCAUGAAUAAUCUUGAAUAUUUUCGGCCGCAACCCGCGCUCGAAGACCUCCUCUCGGUCCCGGUCUCCGUGAACCAUGCCCGGAACGCAAUCGACUAUGUGCGAGAACUCCCUUUCAUAUUCCCACACCGAUCGGUUUCCUUGCCUUAACUUGCGAAAGUCCUCCUUGAUCUUCCGCUUGUCACUUUCGGGAAAAUACUCCAUUAACAGGAUCUCCCGGAAUGUCUCCCAAGACAUAGUAGCCGGAUCCAAAGACCGACCAUUCUUUACUCGCGUCUACCAUGAUCUAGCCGACCCCUCUAAACAGUGAGCCGCUAGGCGUACUUUAUCCUUCUCGAGGGUGUAGACAUCCUCAAACAAUGCCUCCAUCGCUGAAAGCCACGCCUCCAUUAACCAAGGGUCCUUCACAUCACCCUGGAACAUCGGAGUAUUAAACCGCUUAAAGGCCGUCAACACCGCCAACGACCGCUCCUGCUCGGCCUUAAGAACCUACGAGAUAGGAGCCGAAGAACUCGAAAUCGUUGGAGGAAUAGCCGUCACCGGUGCCGCCGCCACCGUCGGAGUAGGUGCUAUAGGUGCAGGCGGGUCCUGAGGUACGGGUGCAGCCGCCGCCGCCUGUCGAGCCACCAACUCAUGGAGCCGUCCUAUCUGCUCCCCUUGUUGUCCCAUAGCCCCAGCCAAAGCUACCACUUGGGCCCGCAACUCUCGCACUUCAUCAGAUCCCGCUUGCUCGGGCACUUCAUUAGGCAAUGCCGGAGCGGACCUACGCGUAUAACGUCUCGGGGACAUUAGCUCUUGAAACGAAACACACGCGUUAUUACUCGACAUACUCACACCUUAUACGUUCCAAACAACUACCCAAUUAAGCGAAAGCAAACAAGUCUAUUCAUUUUCAACUCUCGGCGUCAUGUAGUCGGCCGCCCACAUAACACUUCAAGAAGAGAACAAUAAGCACUUGAAUUCAUCUCUAACUCCUUUUAGAGAAGUACUAACAACAACCCAAUCAAUAAGCUUUCGCGUUUCCGAGUCCACGUCAAACGUGUCCUAAACUCCUAGGGUUUCCAAUCCUAAGGUCCCUAAGUCCAUCCUAGACUUUUGCUUUCACUCGCGCUGAUACCACCGUAUCUGUCACGCCCCGGAGCCGCCAAUUUGGUCGGUUCGGGCACGCGAACAGACGCCGAACGAACAGCACCUCCCCUGUCCGCCCAAGGCUCCAACAACAUGUAUAAUACAAGCAAGUCAACAAGGAGAUUGCAAGAUAUACAAGGUUUGCACGAUGGCAAACAACAACCAAUUCACAUGUGAAAGCACCGAAACUAACUAAACAUUUAUCCACAUACAUGUCAUUUGAUUACAUUUUAAUCAAACACAAGUAACUAUUACAUUUACAUUCAUUUUAUCCAUUCAUUUACAUCACAUUGGCUUUUAACCCAAAAUAUACGAAUUACAUUAUUUAUCCUUACUAGUUCAACAUACAAAAGUUGAAUACACCAAAAUAUAGGGUAUGCCUAUAAACUCCGAGGCCGCUAUCUACAGCGCGAUACCCUAGCCUGGAUCCUCCGUCGCCCCGCUCGCGCACGGAUUUGCAGGGUUAGUGGUAAUGAGAACUAGAACGAAGUUUCCAAUGGGUUCGGCCGCCAACUGCGCCUAUUCGCCGACUAGGUCUAUUUCAGGCAUAUGUAUUUCAAUAAAGAUAGAUACCGAACCAUCUAAUGCAAUCACUAAUACAAUGCCUUGUAGCACACUCGACCUUUGCAAUUUGUGAGGUUCGAGUGUUUGGUGUGUACUCCGAACUUUUCCACACUUGGUGGAAGGCCGUAGAUGGUAUUCCGGCCUAAAAGUUCGAUCUCUAGGGUUUUGAUUUUGUCCUGAGAGUUUUCACUCUCGAGGACCGGUCCCUGAUAGGAGAGACCGGUCUCCUCAAAACAGUGCUGCGGCAGGGCUUGAGACAACCGGUCCCUGGCUGGGAGAGACCGGUUCCCGAACGUUGGUUUUGCGGGAAUAAAAAAUAUGAAAAUAAGGGCUUCCGUUCGUAAAAUUUGUGAAAAAUGUCGACUGAUUCGCAGGCGUGGGCGGUCCCAGGUGUCGGGGAGAUCGGUCCCUCAGCGCAAAAACGGUCCAGACCGGGCAGUGCACAGAGUGGAUUUUUGAGGGGCCUAAGUGGAUUUUGUUACCUUAGAGGCUAUAGGAAGCCUCUCUUCUCCCUCUCACUCUUAUUUCCUCUCCCUCACACUCUCCCUAUACUUCUAGAGAGAGAAGAAGAAGGAGGAGAAGAAGAAGGAAAAGAGGAGGAGCAACUUGGAGGCUUUGAAUCAUCUUCUUCCCCUUAUUCCUCACCUUUGGUGGCUUGAAGCUUGCGGUUGGAGCCUUGUGGAGGUUCAAACUCCAACCCUACUUAGUUUAGAGCUUGGAUUGGAGCUUCUCUUGAGGUUCGUAGCUUGUAUUUUUUAUUUAAUACAAGUUUUUCUAGAUUUUACCUUAUGAAAUCCUAGAUUUUAGGAUUUAGGAUUUAUUUUGGAAACUUUUGAUUUGAGGGCUUUGAAACCUAAUUGAUCGUUUUAGAACCUUUAUUUAGGUUGGAUUUGAAGAACUCUAGCUCCCAUUUGGGGCUUGAGAGAGGAUUUCUUCACCUAGGUGAGUUUUUCUCCACCUUAGCCUAUGUUGCUUAUUGAUUGAGCUUAGGGUUGAUCGUAAGAUUUGUUUGACCCUUGGUCCUACAUCUUUAGGAUGCUAGGAGACUAGUCGACACCUUCGUCGGAGCUUACGAAGGGUUUCGAUAUCAUUGGUGGGUUUGACUUCAUGAAAACGGGGCAAAAUGGCCCCUAUGCUUUCUAAACUCUUCGUAAAGUCUUUUUUUAGAGCAAAUCCAUGUUAAACAUGAUUUAUGUGAAUUUUAGAACACUUGAAAUGCAUGCCUUAUAUAUCAUGAAAUUCGCACUCUAUAUAGUAGAGCUAUAUGUGUAGACUGCAUGCAUUGUGAAAGGUGGUUAGCCUUGCAAGUUGAGAACAUAUCUCAUAUGUUUGAAAUGAGUAGAACUAUGUGUUCAUGAACAUAAAUACCAUACUUGGAUUAGUUGAACAAUAGUGUCAUAAAGGGGCACUUGAAACUAAUAAAAUAUAAAAAUGCAACAUAGAGACAUAGUGAUAGGCCAUUGGACAUCGACUAUAUUCCAUGUUAGAGACAUGACGACAUAGUGAUGGGCCUUUGUGACAUUCGAUAUAUUCCAUGUUCUUUGACAUGUAGACUUGAGACUUGAGACGGACUGAUACGCAUGCUUGCCAUUGUGCUCAUUCGCACAUGCUUGUGAGGGUCGCUCCCUACAAGCCGGCACUCCGGAGUUGGCCAUCGCGAUACGUUCACCGUGCGGGAUUGGGCGCCGAAGUGGAUUGCCGUGGGAAAGGCUCAUUCCUAGAGUGGGGAUGUUGACUACCACGGGGCCAUUAGGCACGGUAAAGCCAGACAGCCUUCGGGUGGGUCUUAUGCUAGACAGCCUUCGGGUGGGUCUUAUCAGAGUUGAACUUUAAACAGUUAAAGUGACAAGUGGACAUUGACUAGAGUAGUGAACAUUGACAUUAUUGCUAUUCACAUUGUGGACUUUGGGAUAGUUGCAUACUCAUGCAUUUACAUAUUGGUUACUCUCAUAUACAUACUUGUGAUAGUUGUUUUGUUACUUGUGCAAAUCAUGCUAAGUAGAGACAUCAUGGUUGAGCAGUAUUCAUCUUUACUUACCCGUUGUAUUGAUCGCUUUUGCUCAUGCUUAUACACUGACCCCUUUUGCUGUAGUUUGGGCCUAGUGGCGCAUUUCACUGAAGUCAAUAAUUGCCCACUGGGAACUAUUAUUUAAUAGUUCUCAUGUCCCUGUUUCUAUAUUUCCUUUUCAGAGCCUUCGGCACUGGCGGAGGCACGGGAUCGCGGCAAGGGUGUCGCGUAGCUAGCUCGGAGAGAGUCCGUUUUGCUAUUGGUGGUUACUCCUUCUUUUGUUUGUGUUAGAGAGAGAGAGAGAUUUUGAGUACCAUGUAUAGAGAAACCACCUGUAUACUCUUUAUGUUUAGUCUUUGUAUUUGGGAUUUUUCUUUGUACUACUUUAUGGCUUUAUCAACGAAUUUCAGUUUUAUACUUACCCCUCUGUAUAGAACUUAGUUAUUUACUUUGCUCUGAUAUCGUUAGAUUUUUUUGUUCUACUGCUUUAUUUAUCGUUUUGUUUUAGACGCCUUGUAUGUUUUAGACAUAUGGCGGGUCUGGGCACGCACCGGGCGGGCUUCCGCUGGGUCCCGGGGCGUGACAGAUUAGUUUGGUAUCAGAGCCUAGGGUUGAGUCUUAGUGGACCUAGCAAACCUUAGGCCGGUUGGACUAUAAGAAAUAGGCUCGUGAGAGACGAAGUCUAUUCGACUUGUAAGCGAAAGUAUCUUGAUUGGGUAUCUUAGAUAACUCUAGAAAGUGGAGUUAAAUUGAAGUGUAUAGCUUCUAACUUCGCGGAGGGUUACGUUGGCGGCCCACAACGUAACAUCGGGAGUUAGUUGUGAAGCACACUUCAUUACUUUCGCAUGAUUUGGGGUAUUACCUUCUUGAGUGGGGAUACGAUGGCGUGAGUUUACU
rnacentral:lncRNA from 1 species